rnacentral:lncRNA from 1 species
AGUCAAUGUGGGGUUAGGUUUAUAAUCUCUUUAUGGGGAUUUAAAUUUCAGUAAAGCCAUUUGGGGUGAACCCUGGGUGUGUCCACAUUCAGGGAUCAAAUUCUCUUUAGAAAAUUGUUUUGAAUCAGCUUCACCCAUAGAGCUGUGGUGAGCAAGAAUUCUAGAUCCAUUCUUUAAAGCAACAUUGUUUUACUAUAAAAUAAUAUUUAUACUUGUGCAUAACUAAAUGCUUGGAUGAAAAUAGCAUCAUAAUAAAACACCCACAGAAUUUUACAUUGAAUGAUAUUGUUCUUUUUAAAAAAAAAUAGCCAAAUGAAAAAAAAAAUAUGGCUGUGUCUUUAUGGGAUUUUUAGUGCAAGUAUGUUUAGAAUUGUUUUCCUCACUAUCUUAUCCCUCAUAAUUAGCAUAUUGUCUUACAUGGCAGUGAGAUACUUGAUUUUUUCACACAAAUUUUUGAAAUAACUUGUUAAAAGCAGGUUAACUAUUUUGUCAGUAACUAGGACAAUAGAAACCUUGUUUAUCUGACUCCACACACAAGAAGUGUAAUAAUUAUAGUUUAUUGAGUGCAAACUGUGUGCCAGAAACUGUGACUAGAAUUCCAUUAAAUUUCUGUUAUAAGCCAUAUUUUUACAUAUUUGGUAAAUAAAACUCAGAGAUGUAAAUUAUCUUUGUUUUUAUCAUCAUGAACAAAUUGCCAGAUGGCUAUUUGGCAAAUAGAUUAUUUAUAUUUUUCUAUGACUUAGAACAUCUCCUUUGUAACCAGUUGAUAUUUUUGUAUGUCCAUUUUCAACGUUCUGUUUCGCCCUCUCUCUCAUGCUCUCUGAAUCUCUUCCGCAAACCUCAAAAUACAUUGUCUGUGCCCAUAUAAAUGAGGCAUUUCAAUAAGUACUGUUCACAUAUAUGUUACACUAAUGUUAAUAAACAGACAAGUUAACUUGCUGAAGCCUUUGCUUGCUAUAGAGCUAGUUCAAAGUUGAAAAUCAUAAACUAUUGCUCCUGGGCAGAAGUAUUCUUUUAAAGAGAAUAAAUCUUUACCAGGCUGAUGUGACAGGGGCAUGAAAAACAUUAGUAUCAGGAGAAAGAGCCUGAACAAAGGAAUGAAGACCUUGAGGACCAUGGCACAGAGAUGGUAUUAUAGUUGAAUUGGUCCAAGUGUAGGUAGGUAAACCAGUGUUAAAUUAGCUGAAGUCAGUGUGGACCUACCGAAAAGACAGGGGGGCUUUGUUAUGUCAUGUAGGCAGUGCAUGAAAGAAACUUCAGGUAUUAACAGAGCAAGAAAAUGGCCACAAAUAUCUAGAAAACAAGCAAAAGGCAACUGAGAUUAAUUCAGUAACAGUGAAGCUAUAAAAGAUAAAGCAGAACAUAAAGCCUCAACAUUUCUUAGACCUAAUGACUACUUCUAUAUGAGAGUAAGGGGUAAAUAGAGUAGAUGCAGUAACACCUCCAGAUUCCCUUCAAGGAAGGACUGACUUGCUGUCCAGCUGUGGUCAGCAAGCUGUGGGAGCUGGGAGCCUUCAAGGGGCUCUAGCUGCACAGGAGACAGCUCUCCAGAGAUCACACACUUCCCAAGAGCAGCAUGAAUCCAGUGACCAAUCAAAGAGGAGAUAGAACGGUCCAGCCAUUUGAAGUUGGCUGAGGACUCAGAGCUUUGCCUGAGUCUUCACUCACCAACAUGGCACUCCAUGCUUCUCCAUCUACCCAAGGCUACUGCCUUCCUUUUCUUUGACGAAGGGCUAUCCUUUAAACAAACAAACAAAACAAAAACAACAAAAAACUCACAUCAAAAACACCAUCUCAGUAUCUGCUUUCAGGGAAACCAAACUGUACUGAUGUUCAAGUGUCUGAACUGAAGCUUCUUAUCAAAAUAGGAACUACCAAAGUGGAAAGUGGUAAGAUGUGGUACGUGUGGUUUCAACAUAUUGUGUUGGACAGAACAGUGGAUAAACUAGGUGAAGACCUCCUGAGAGGGGAAAAAUAUUCAAGACUGUAGCUCAGGAAUUUAAGGUGAAUAGAAAUUUGUAUGUGGGGAUUUUUUUUAAAUAAAUCCAAAAUAUCUUUCAUAUUUUUCCUAUGCUGUAGGUAUAUUUCAGAAUCUGUUUUUCUCAAGAUUCUCAUGUUGAACUAAGACAAAAUAUUUUAUUUGUAAUCUGAGGAGCAGAUUUUAGCAGUCUUUUUAUUGCCUGGCUCUUGAAUAUUUACAUCUGUUCCACUGUAGGACUUGGCAUCUUCAAGGGUUGUUGUAGACUUAGGGCAGGAAAGUCCACAUGGGAAUCGAGCUCCAUACCCUUCUCAGCUUUCUUAGGUUGUGGCAUCCCUUAUGUCAAGCUAUUUUCUUUAUUGCCCAAUUUAUACAUAACUGACAAGGUGUCCCAAUUGCCUGGUUAUGAUAUCCUGGCUUCUUCUUUGAUGGGAGAGUGAUUAUGUUUUAAGGGGCUUUCUACACACACAUUUGUCAGCUUUUAGCUAUUGCUUAUGUCCUCUGUUUGGUUAUAAUUGAUGCCCAAGGGUAACUUGUACACUUAAAUGGGAAUAGUUAGUGAUUAUUCACAUCAUAUUGUCAAUAAACACAGGAAGAGAUACAAGAAAGUUUAUGUCCUCACCUUCAUAUCUCCUACAUGUGUAUUUGUUUUGUUUUGGUUUUCUUUUUUAGGGUCACACUCAUGGCAUGUGGAGGUUCCCAGGCUAGGGAUCUAAUCAGAGUUACAGCUGCCGGCCUAUGCCAGAGCCCCAGCAACUCGGCAUCUAACCAUCCAACCCGUCUGCAACCUACACCACAGCUCACGGCAAGACUGCAUCUUUAACCCACUGAGUGUGGCCAGGGAUCGAACCUGCAACCUCAUGGUUCCUAAUUAGAUCUGUUAACCACUGAAGCACAAGAGGAACUCCUAGGCAACCUUUUAAAGCAUUUCUAUGUAUGGAAUUGGAAAUAAUAACAGAAAGUGGUUUAUGAAUUCAGUUAUUUAAAUUGAAUAGAUCAUUUUAACAUACACACUUGCAAACAGUGAUUUAAACCUGUUUGAAUAGUUAAUAAAUCCCAUUAUUAUAAAUUUAGAGAUCUCAUUCACAUCUCUAUGCCUCACUGAAAUUUUGCAGCAUAUCUUGUCACUAGUUAAACUUUCAUUGAUUAUUUUAUAGAAAGUGAUUUUUUUCUUCAUCUCUUAAUGAUGCUUUUUUCACCUGGCACUCUAGUCAUUUUUGUGUGUACAUCAAAUAUGCAUCAAACACUACAUAUUUGAUGACAGUAAAUGCUUCUUAUUAUCCUUGUCAUCAAAAAGAAUUAAAUCAGUUUAGGGCAUGGCACGGUUAUCAGUUCCUGUGAAUAGGAUGCCCUUGAAAACUGUGGAACAAAUAAAUGAAUGAUUUUUUUUUCUUCAUAGAAAGUCUUUUGAGGACAAGGACAAGAGAUUUUACAUCUCAUAAUAGCCACUAUAUCCUAGCACUAAACAGUUUUUUAGUAAGCAUAUAUAGAAUUUAAAGAGUCCUUGAUAGAAAAAUGUUUUCAAUAACAAUAAAUUACUAAAUCUAGUCUCUGAAGUAAAAUGCAAAAUUUAUGAAAUCCAAAAUUUUUUGGAAGUUUUCUAACUUCUAUUGUGAAUGAAAUGAAUUUUAGUUAUUUUAUGGCCAAAAUUAGUGAUGCUAAAUAUGAUGAAUCCUAUACAAAAUGUUAACUGUUUUUGUUAUUGGCUCAUAUAUAUUAUACAAAUCGUAUUUAACUGAAUAUAUGUAUAUUUAAAAUAUCAAUUAUAUACCUUAGAAAAUAACUUUUGAGAGAAAAAUUGAUAAAAGUCAAGAAUGCUAUUAGUUUUCUCUUUCAGUUCCAUACAUCAGGACAAAACUAAACCUAUUUAAGAGAUAAAUGAGUUUUGUAUUUGACCGUUAUGGAUUCUGUAUGGAAACAAUAUCACACAUGUGAAAUACAGAAUUAGAUUCUUAAUGGCCACGUUCUUGCAUUUGAGAAAUGUUCCCUAACCUUUCACAACUGUUAUGAUAAAAUAUGGUAUACUGAGAAUUGAGCUUUAUUGCAGAAAGUUAAAAAUAUAUGGCUACAAAAUUGUUGUGAUUCAUGUUUUUCAACUGAAAACUGGAGUCAAGUAGGCUGACAAUCAAUUCUCAGAAAGUGACAGCUGUAAUAACCUGGUAGGGAAUUCUCAGAGUAGUUCAUGAUUUUGACCUUUGGAAAGUAUAGAUUUAAGGAGAAAUUUAAUUUGGAACCACAGAUGGAAGCAACAUCUAGUUUCAUUGGCUAAUAUUAGACAGUCAUUUUAAAAAUCGAGAGGAGCCAAUUGCAAGUUUUACAGAGGAGAGGAACUACUGUAUACAUAUUGCGGGUUCUUAACAAAUGUUGUUGUCAUAGCUGUAGCUUUUACUCAGCCAAAGUGCAUGCCACAGACCCAGUGGCACCCACACUUUUACUUUGUGGCUUCUGGCUAUCCACAUCAUUAAUGCAAAUAGAUGUACAUUUUAGACAAUGCUUUUUUUGUGUGGAGUAAUUUCACUUUCAUCUAAAUGUCAUUCCCUUCAGCUUUUAUUCACCCCCACUACUGUUCUUUUUUCAUAAAAGAAUGAAUUCCAUCUACCUUAGUUUAAAUGAAUAUACAUGAAUUUAAAAUAUAGCCUCUCAAUCCAUCACCAUACUCAGUACCUAUGCACUUCGAUGAAAAUCAGCUGUAAGAUUUAGCUAAUUUCCUUGGGAUAUAUUUUUCUGAAACGUGUGGGAAUUUGCAAAAGACUGGAAAGAAGAAGAAAUAAAUUAACUAUCUGAAAUUAUUACUACGUCAUCUCCUAUUACUAAAAUAAAAUUAUUUCCUAACCCUAAUAUCGAAAAAAAAAUUUAAAGGAGAAAAAAAUUCCAUUCUCUUAAAUAAGAAAGGAUAGUUUGACAAAGCAAGUAAAAUACAUCUACUGAUUCAUCUGCCUGCUUGAGCAAAGCAUAGGGAGUUCAGAGUCAUAGAAAUGUAGGCCUGGAAGAAACACUAGACAUCACACCUGGCAAUCUCUUUCAGCCAAUAGAAAACUGAGGCCAAAGACACUUUGUCACUUUUUUCAGGCUCACAAAACUAAGAAAAGAAAUAGAGUACAGAAUAUUUGGAUCAGUUUAAGAUUCUGCUAUAUGAUAUCUGCCAUGCUGGAAAAUAUCAUUUAAUGUAAUAGCUAGGGGAGUGGAGACAACUAAAAUCGAUGAUGCCUUAAGUUAAUGUUCCACUGUUUAUUAUAUGCCUAAUAUCUUACAAGAAAAUAAUUUACCAGACUAUUGUUAGCAAAAGAAGUAAUCUGAGAACUAAGGCAAUAUAACUUAUUGCUAAUUAAAACAGUAACAUUCUCCUCUACAUAUUCACUCUCCAUUCAUUCAUAUAGUAAACAAGUAUAUACUAUGUACUUUUAUGCAACAUGAACUUAGAUUCAAUGGACUGGAGAUAUACCAUCCAUAAAAAUUGGCAAAAUCUCCUCCAUCACAGAGUAUAACCUUAUGAAAGUUAGCAAAAUAGGAAUAUACUUUUUUGGGGGAAAAAAGUAAUUUUUUUUGAAAAGUAAAUAACUUAAAUGAUGUUAGCUUGUUGUAUACACGAAAAGGAAAAACAUAUAAAUAUUUUGCAUUUGGUUAAUUUAAACUUGUCUUCUGAACCUAAUCAUUUGGGGAGGAAAUGACUAAAUGCACUUGAUUUUUAGAAAACUGGGAAAUAGAUGUAAAAAUAUACUGAUUCCAUUAAAGUUUGUCUAUCUUAUAAAACUCCUGCCUCAGGACUGGCAUGUUUCUUCUCUAAAUUCUCUAGUCCAGUUCUCUGUAAUUCUAAGAGCCUUCCCAUGAAUAUAGGUACACUGUCAGAAAGUAAUUGUUGAAAAAGUUAUGGUGCUGUAAAGAAAUUCUGGGGUAUUUAACCUUGUUGAUAGUUUCUAAUCACUAAAACUUAUUCUGGGAGUAACAAUUCCAAUUUUUAGUUCUGUAUUAACUAAUACUACAAAAUAUGAUUUAAGCAAUAUUUAAUUAAUUUUAUCCUAUUAUUUUUACAAAGAGAGCUAUAAAGCUAAGUAUUAACUGAACAGCAUCAACCAGGUUUUUUCUAAUCCAUUAGACACUGAACAGCAAAUAAGUAGGUUUUUUUUUCUUUUUUACAGUCAACUAGGGCGUACCGUAAUUGUUUAAAAUCAACAUCACAAUCUAAAUUUGGAUGAAAGAUUUACUUCAAAAGUCAAAGAUAAAAA